rnacentral:rRNA from 1 species
GCUUUGGGAGGGGCCUGCGGUCCAUCAGCUAGUUGGUAAGGUAAUGGCUUACCAAGGCAGAGACGGAUAGGGGGCGUGAGAGCGUGGCCCCCCACACUGGUACUGAGACACGGACCAGAUACCUGCGGGUAGCAGCAGCAAGGAAUAUUGCGCAAUGGGCGAAAGCCUGACGCAGCAACGCCGCGUGGAGGAUGAAGGCCUUCGGGUUGUAAACUCCUUUUCUGGGGGAAGAGAAAGGACGGUACCCCAGGAAUAAGUCUCGGCUAACUACGUGCCAGCAGCCGCGGUAAAACGUAGGAGGCGAGCGUUAUCCGGAUUUAUUGGGCGUAUCGCAUGUAGGCGGUUUUCUAAGUCGGACGUGAAAGCUCCUGGCUCAACUGGGAGAGGUCGUUCGAAACUAGGAGACUUGAGGGUGGUAGAGGAGAGUGGAAUUCCCGGUGUAGUGGUGAAAUGCGUAGAUAUCGGGAGGAACACCAGUGGCGAAGGCGGCUCUCUGGACCAUUCCUGACGCUCAGAUGCGAAAGCUAGGGGAGAGAACGGGAUUAGAAACCCCGGUAUUCCUAGCCGUAAACGAUGUCAACUAGGCGUAGGGGGUUAUUGACCCCUCCUGUGCUGCAGCUAACGCAUUAAGUUGACCGCCUGGGGACUACGGCCGCAAGGCUAAAACUCAAAGGAAUUGACGGGGACCCGCACAAGCAGCGGAGCGUGUGGUUUAAUUCGAGAUACGCGAAGAACCUUACCAGGGUUUGACAUGCUGGUGGUAGUGAAACGAAAGUGGAACGACCCUUCGGGGAGCCAGCACAGGUGCUGCAUGGCUGUCGUCAGCUCGUGCCGUGAGGUGUUAGGUUAAGUCCUGUAACGAGCGCAACCCUCGUCGUUAGUUAUAAGUGUCUAACGAGACUGCCGGUGAUAAGCCGGAGGAAGGUGGGGAUGACGUCAAGUCAGCAUGGCCUUUAUAUCCUGGGCUACACACACGCUACAAUGGCCGGUACAAUGGGCAGCGAAGUCGCGAGACGGAGCCAAUCCUCAAAAGCCGGUCUCAGUUCGGAUUGUAGGCUGCAACUCGCCUGCAUGAAGUCGGAGUUGCUAGUAAACGCACGUCAGCACAGUGCGUUGAAUACGUUCCCGGGUCUUGUACAUACCGCCCGUCACGUCAUGGAAGUUGGCAACGCCUAAAGUCAGUGAGCUAACCCUAACGGGAGGCAGC